UUUAAGUGCAGCCAUAAGUUUUUCGUGCUCAAUUUUGAUUGUCCUCUUAUUUAAUUUUUUUAUGAUCAGUAUUUUUUAUUGUCAUUAGAUAACAAAACAUAAAUAGUACUUUAUAUGUGACUUAUUUUUUUAAUUUUUUUAAAAAAAUUUAAAUAAAACGCACGAUUAAAAUUGAAUAUGGAAACUCAUGACUGCGCUUUAA
rfam:Oryza punctata chromosome 12, whole genome shotgun sequence.